AGCAGUAGCCGCGGUAAUACGUAGGGUGCAAGCGUUAAUCGGAAUUACUGGGCGUAAAGCGUGCGUAGGCGGCUUCUUAAGUCGGAUGUGAAAUCCCUGAGCUUAACUUAGGAAUUGCAUUCGAUACUGGGAAGCUAGAGUAUGGGAGAGGAUGGUAGAAUUCCAGGUGUAGCGGUGAAAUGCGUAGAGAUCUGGAGGAAUACCGAUGGCGAAGGCAGCCAUCUGGCCUAAUACUGACGCUGAGGUACGAAAGCAUGGGGAGCAAACAGGAUUAGAUACCCGCGUAGUCCCUGUCUCUUAUAC
rnacentral:rRNA from 1 species